AACUGGGGGGAUUGGGAGGGUAUAUUAGUCUCCUGUGAGAUUUUUAAAAAGAGUGAAUGGCCCAAAAGGUCACUAAACUAUUAAAAAUGGCAUCCUUUGAUCACUAAACUUUUUUUGUGGCCAAAAAGGUCACUAAACUCGCAAAAACUCUCCAACGUAGUCAUUUUACCGAAUCUCAACGGUUUCUCAUCCGGUGGCAUGGGCAACGUGGAAUGGAGGAAUAUAGUCAAAGGGCAAAAAUGUCUAAAAGAUUAUUGAAACUGGUGAAACCGUGGGCUAUUCCCUACUUUCAAACUCUACGCCAGGCUGAGAGGCCUGAGAGAGAUGACUCAGAGGGCACCGGCAAGACUGACCGGAACAACUAGAAGCAAGAAGUUUACGUGCAGUUAGCGGGACAUCCCAUCACCCACUCUGUGUAUUCAUCACAGAUUUGAUAGAAGAUCUGGCCGGAAAAUCGUGAUGAGGCCAUGUUUGGCAUCCGACCUUUGGGAGUUUAUGGGAUCUCAGCCAUCUAAGCUUAAGAAACGUAAUUGACCCAAUUCUCUCUCAUCUUCUGGAAUCGGAUAACUGGAAAGAACAGAGCUCGUCUCGCCCCUCAGAAUUGAACCCCUAGAUUGACUUCAUCUUCUCCGGCGAUAAAAAUAGAGACUGUAAUUUCCCUCUCUCCUCCUAAUCCUUCCUUCUUGAUUGAUGACAACCUCAAUUUCACCGCCAUUUCAGAAUCCGAAUCCGGCUCUUAGCAUUCUGAAUCUGUGCACUCCGACCAGAAUUUCCUCUACUACAGCCCAGAAGACGACGACGACGACGAUGAUCAAAUGAAUUUCGUUAAGGAUUUAUUCGCGACCCACCAUGGUAUCCCCGACCAUGGACUGUGUAAUUCUGAAUCCGGGUGUACUUGUCUGGACGAAGAACCCAAAUUAGUUUUAGGUGCACAGGCCGAAUGCAAUGGGGUUGCUUCUCUUCCGUCAAUGGUCGGCGGUCUUCGAAUUGUGAACAUGGAAUCGGAGUCCGACUCGGAGUGUUUACAGCCAGUAAACUUCACCAGAGAAGACGAAGUGAAUGUCGGUUGAUUGGUCAACUUUGGGAACGAAACAGUCUCAGCAGAUUGGCAGAGCAUGCAAUGCAGAGAUACUAGCUAGCCAGGAAGGCUGAGCCUUAAGGAGGGGGUGUUUAGUUUUACACGUGGCUGCUGCUAGUUUAAUCACCGGUGAGAUCAGAACCAGAUGGGCUCAGCAUUUAAGUCAAAAGAAGAAGAACAACGCCAAAUCAUAAUACUAAUAGGGGCCCCCACCGGCCACCGGGGGGUUGAUGUUGGACUGGUGCAAAGGUGAUUAGAUAAGUUUGAUUCGUCCAAAUUUGACCAGCCCCAGAUUGCCGACGACGUCUCACUUCACCACCUCCACACGCACACGGACACGUGAUUUUUUUUUCAUGGUCGAAUUUUGAAGGGCGACAAUUACAAGCCAAGUCUGUGGACUUUGGGAGUAUACACCACUGUAUAUAAUGAAAUGCUUUUCGUGCCUCCUACCUCCAUCCGGCUUUAUUCACACGCAUUCAAACAUGCCACUUCAAAAGUUUGUACAUUGUUCACCUUUUACCA